rnacentral:lncRNA from 1 species
CCAUGUAUGUAAAUGUGGUGCUUAAUUUAAUCUAGCUCUAUUCUAUUUUCUAAAAACAUACUACCGGUGUGCAUUUUAGACUCUUUAAUUUUUAAAUGUGAGCUCAGUAAAUCAUCCAUUGUAAUAUGUAACUUUGUCUUGUCUAUAGCUGAUAUACCAGCGCUUGAUGUAGUUUUAUCCCCAAUUAGUUGUCUCAUUCUUAAAACUGAUGCGUUCCGGCACAUUUCUCGAAGGUCUGAUCCGGAGAACCCAUUUGUAAGCUUUGACAAACGAUUUAGGUCAACAUCCCGACUUAAGUCCUCAGACUCUAAUAUCAAUUUUAGUAUUUCUAUUCUCUGGAUUUCAGAUGGAAGACCAAUGUGAAAUUGUGCUGGCAUUCGGCGAACAAUUGCCUUGUCUAAAUCCUGUGGCCUGUUUGUUGCGCCCAUUACAAUCACGGUCGAAUUGGAAUUUGUGCUUAGGCCAUCCCAUAACAUCAUAAACUGAGUUUUCAUCAUUGCGGUGGCCUCGUGGUCAUUUGAAUUACGCGCCCGNCUCGAUUUUUGCUGCCAGUGAAAAAACUGCCGAUGUAAGUUUUUGCGAUUCCCCGUACCAUUUAUCAGUUAAAAUGGCAACAUCCAGAUUGAUAAAUCGCAUACCAGCCUCUUUUGCCGUAGCUUUCGCAAUUAACGUUUUUCCGCAACCAGGCGGUCCAUGGAGAAGAAUACCUUUUGGGGCCUGCCACAGUUUGGAGUUUUUGAAUAAAUCUUUAUGUUGAACUGGUAAAACCACAGAUUCACGAAGCUCUUGAACAAUCAAAUUCAAUCCUGCAAUAUCGCUCCAUUUGACUGUAAUGUCAGCUGGAACAACAAGGUGUGACGCAAUCAUCAAUUCGUAGUCAUUAAAGUCGUGGGAAUUGAUUUUUAAUCCAUCAUUUUCACUCAACCUAUAAAUUCCAGACGUCAUUACAAAAUAUUACGUACAUACUUAAAAAUGCAAGUAUUUAGUUACCUUUUCAAUUGUUCUUCUGCGAGGCCUUUGGCUUUUUUCUUGUUUUUGCUGGUAGGGUCCAAUUGGCUCAUCAUCCAUUUAACAGAAUAAUAUGUAACCAUUGAAGCAACAGAUAUACGUAAUAACACUUGUAAAAUCUGUCCCUUUGUUAAAUCUACUCCUCCAAAACUGAAAUUAUCCAUCUUAAGCUUAUUUUAAAAUACUUAAUAUCGUGUAGUUCAAUGUGUGCAGUAUUGUACGAGGAAUAACUAUAUGAGUGG